GAUGGAAAACACAAGAAUGAAACUUGUUCCCACUGGAAAUAAGUUCGUGAAUACACUCUCCUGACGCCAAUGACCACACUCGGACAGAUUCUUGACUGACAGAGGCCAAGAAGUCUCCAUUUACAUCCCAACAAAUGGAGUGUACCUCAGUGGAGUGACCCAGUAAUGAGUGCGUCUGUCUGUCAGUUUCAACAUCAAAUAUGGACACAACAUUCUCCGCAGCUGCAGCCAGCAGCUGCCCAAUUCUUGGCUGAAAUCUAACUUGUGCAGUACCUCCCUUAGAUAUGCGGGUGCUAGAAUACUGAUUGACGUUCCAGAAGCGUAUCUCAUUGUUACCAUCACAAGAGCAGAAAAGGUCAUUUUUCUUAGGGUGGAAAUCAAGAGACAUCACAUGUGAGGUAUGCCCAGUAUAUGUCUGCAAGGAAUACCUUGGAUCUACAGCAUCCCAGAGUCGAACACUUGUAUCAAAUGAAGAUGUUGCCAGCUGAGUUGUAUUUGGUCUGAAACGAACAUCAGUAAUUAUGUGAUUGUGUUCUUCAGGAGUGCAUUCCGUCUGCAGAGUUUCCAUGUUCCAAAGAACAACCUUCUUGUCAUGCCCAGCA
rnacentral:misc_RNA from 1 species